GUUUAAUUCAUUGGUGCCAGUUCCUGCUACUUGUUGCACUUUUUGUUUGUUCACUUUUCAGACAUCACACAUGUUCCAUAAAAUUUAAGCUUCCUUUAAAAACAUACCAUACUACCCUUUUCUUUAUCUCUUUUUUCAACUCUUUUGUUUUUUUUAAAGGGAGCUUGUAUUUUGAAUAUGCUCAAGGAUUUUCUGGGUGAGGAGAAAUUCCAGAAAGGAAUAAUUCAGUACUUAAAGAAGUUCAGCUAUAGAAAUGCUAAGAAUGAUGACUUGUGGAGCAGUCUGUCAAAUAGUUGUUUAGAAAGUGAUUUUACAUCUGGUGGAGUUUGUCAUUCGGAUCCCAAGAUGACAAGUAACAUGGUAAGGAUAAAGAGAGUCACAGAGUAGAAGAGAUCUGUGGAAUAGCCUGACCU
rnacentral:sRNA from 1 species